AUUUUUUACUCUAGUUGUGCAGUAAAAUUCACUUUAAAGGGAAAACGGUAUCUCUGGAUGGAGGACUUUUAAGAUAAAAAUGACAUGAAAUUAUAACCAUUAGAUGGCAGCACUCUUCAUGUCAUGCUUUUGACCUAGACAAACAUGACGAACUUGGACUUACACAAACUUUAAUUUAGAUGUUGAAUGGAUUUACCUAUGUGAGAGACUGCGUUGCAAAAUAUAGGAUACUGUAUGUUUAAGGCUAAAGACUUCCUCUUGGCGAGCUCCAACCAGGACGGCUGAGCUCCAUCUGACCGUGACUGCUGCUGAUGAGAGAUGUCUGUUGCUGAUGGUGAUGAUGAUGAUGAUGAUGAGGUUGCUGGAGGCUCAGGUGUGAGAGUGCUGGUUUUGCUGGAAGUCUGGGUGAGGUCUGUAGGCUGGCUGCUUUCAGUGGAUGAAGCGAGGUGCUCAGAAGCUGUGUUUUAGGCUGGAAGGCUGGUUUGGGAGGCUGUGCAGGAAGAGCUGUUGGAGAUGAAGGGUGGACUGGUGACUGAUUCGUGGAUAAUCUGCCCAAGAAUGGCUGGUAGGCUCUGGUCUUCUCUCUGGCCAGACUCAUCCAGCCCGGCUCAGACACAGCCUCUUGACUUGCUCCUGUUGUGUUUUGGAUAGAUGGUCUACCGUCUGUAAGACAGUAAUAUGUUUUAUUAAAACAUGCCAAUCAACUUAGCAUCAUUCUUAGCAAUAAGAUCUAUUGUUGCUGUAUCAGUAAUUUCACAGAAAACCACUGCUUGAAUGGCGUGUAUAUAAACAAACAGUGACUGGCUGCUGUAAAUGUGCGUCACACUCUUCCUGUGCAAGUCAGUCAUUCCUUUUCAACACAUAGUCGAAACUCUGAUCAAGCAACUGUUAUAGUAGAAGAAAUAUACUAGAAGAAAAUGAGUCACAUUUAAAGCUACUUAAAACUUUUUGUCCUAUUACAUAUAGUGGGGAAACUGGAAAAAUCUGAAUGCUAUUCAUGUGAGAAAUUUUUUUUUGGUAGAA
rnacentral:lncRNA from 1 species